rnacentral:rRNA from 1 species
AGUGGCGGACGGGUGGAGUAACGCGUGGGUAACCUGCCUCAUACAGGGGGAUAACAGUUAGAAAUGACUGCUAACACCGCAUAAUAUAGCGAAACCGCAUGAUUUUGCUAUCAAAUAUUUAUAGGUAUGAGAUGGGCCCGCGUCUGAUUAGCUAGUUGGUGGGGUAAAAGCCUACCAAGGCGACGAUCAGUAGCCGGCUUGAGAGAGUGACCGGCCACAUUGGGACUGAGACACGGCCCAAACUCCUACGGGAGGCAGCAGUGGGGAAUAUUGGACAAUGGGGGAAACCCUGAUCCAGCCGACGCCGCGUGAGUGAAGAAGUAUUUCGGUAUGUAAAGCUCUAUCAGCAGGGAAGAUAAUGACAGUACCUGACUAAGAAGCCCCGGCUAACUACGUGCCAGCCGCGGC